rnacentral:rRNA from 1 species
CACGGGGGGGGCAAGCGUUGUUCGGAAUUACUGGGCGUAAAGCGUGCGCAGGCGGUUUUGUAAGUCAGAUGUGAAAUCCCCGGGCUUAACCUGGGAACUGCGUUUGAAACUACAAGGCUAGAGUGUGGCAGAGGGGGGUGGAAUUCCACGUGUAGCAGUGAAAUGCGUAGAGAUGUGGAGGAACACCGAUGGCGAAGGCAGCCCCCUGGGUUAACACUGACGCUCAGGCACGAAAGCGUGGGGAGCAAACAGG